rnacentral:rRNA from 1 species
AAUGGGUCAGCGACUUAUAUUCUGUAGCAAGGUUAACCGAAUAGGGGAGCCGAAGGGAAACCGAGUCUUAACUGGGCGUUAAGUUGCAGGGUAUAGACCCGAAACCCGGUGAUCUAGCCAUGGGCAGGUUGAAGGUUGGGUAACACUAACUGGAGGACCGAACCGACUAAUGUUGAAAAAUUAGCGGAUGACUUGUGGCUGGGGGUGAAAGGCCAAUCAAACCGGGAGAUAGCUGGUUCUCCCCGAAAGCUAUUUAGGUAGCGCCUCGUGAAUUCAUCUCCGGGGGUAGAGCACUGUUUCGGCAAGGGGGUCAUCCCGACUUACCAACCCGAUGCAAACUGCGAAUACCGGAGAAUGUUAUCACGGGAGACACACGGCGGGUGCUAACGUCCGUCGUGAAGAGGGAAACAACCCAGACCGCCAGCUAAGGUCCCAAAGUCAUGGUUAAGUGGGAAACGAUGUGGGAAGGCCCAGACAGCCAGGAUGUUGGCUUAGAAGCAGCCAUCAUUUAAAGAAAGCGUAAUAGCUCACUGGUCGAGUCGGCCUGCGCGGAAGAUGUAACGGGGCUAAACCAUGCACCGAAGCUGCGGCAGCGACACUAUGUGUUGUUGGGUAGGGGAGCGUUCUGUAAGCCUGUGAAGGUGUACUGUGAGGUAUGCUGGAGGUAUCAGAAGUGCGAAUGCUGACAUAAGUAACGAUAAAGCGGGUGAAAAGCCCGCUCGCCGGAAGACCAAGGGUUCCUGUCCAACGUUAAUCGGGGCAGGGUGAGUCGACCCCUAAGGCGAGGCCGAAAGGCGUAGUCGAUGGGAAACAGGUUAAUAUUCCUGUACUUGGUGUUACUGCGAAGGGGGGACGGAGAAGGCUAUGUUGGCCGGGCGACGGUUGUCCCGGUUUAAGCGUGUAGGCUGGUUUUCCAGGCAAAUCCGGAAAAUCAAGGCUGAGGCGUGAUGACGAGGCACUACGGUGCUGAAGCAACAAAUGCCCUGCUUCCAGGAAAAGCCUCUAAGCAUCAGGUAACAUCAAAUCGUACCCCAAACCGACACAGGUGGUCAGGUAGAGAAUACCAAGGCGCUUGAGAGAACUCGGGUGAAGGAACUAGGCAAAAUGGUGCCGUAACUUCGGGAGAAGGCACGCUGAUAUGUAGGUGAAGCGACUUGCUCGUGGAGCUGAAAUCAGUCGAAGAUACCAGCUGGCUGCAACUGUUUAUUAAAAACACAGCACUGUGCAAACACGAAAGUGGACGUAUACGGUGUGACGCCUGCCCGGUGCCGGAAGGUUAAUUGAUGGGGUUAG